rnacentral:rRNA from 1 species
UACGGAGGGUGCAAGCGUUAUCCGGAUUCACUGGGUUUAAAGGGUGCGUAGGUGGGCAGGUAAGUCAGUGGUGAAAUCUCCGGGCUUAACCCGGAAACUGCCAUUGAUACUAUUUGUCUUGAAUACUGUGGAGGUCAGCGGAAUAUGUCAUGUAGCGGUGAAAUGCUUAGAUAUGACAUAGAACACCAAUUGCGAAGGCAGCUGGCUACGCAAAUAUUGACACUGAGGCACGAAAGCGUGGGGAUCAAACAGG